rnacentral:rRNA from 1 species
UACGGGGGGGGCAAGCGUUGUUCGGAAUUACUGGGCGUAAAGGGCUCGUAGGCGGCCAACUAAGUCAGACGUGAAAUCCCUCGGCUUAACCGGGGAACUGCGUCUGAUACUGGGAGGCUUGAGUAUGGGAGAGGGAUGUAGAAUUCCAGGUGUAGCGGUGAAAUGCGUAGAUAUCUGGAGGAAUACCGGUGGCGAAGGCGGCAUCCUGGACCAUUACUGACGCUGAGGCGCGAAAGCUAGGGGAGCAAACGGGG